GCGUUAUCCGGAUUCAUUGGGUUUAAAGGGUGCGUAGGCGGAAUGAUAAGUCAGUGGUGAAAGCCUGCAGCUUAACUGCAGAACUGCCAUUGAUACUGUCAAUCUUGAGUACAUUUGAUGUGGGCGGAAUGUGUCAUGUAGCGGUGAAAUGCUUAGAUAUGACACAGAACACCGAUUGCGAAGGCAGCUCACAAAACUGUAACUGACGCUGAGGCACGAAAGCGUG
rnacentral:rRNA from 1 species